GACCAGGGGCUUUUGCCGAGCGGGGGAUGCUCCAAGGCUCAGCAGCAUGUGUCUGUGCUGUAGGGGGGACGAAGCCAUCCAAGUGAACCCCGAAGGGCCAAGACAGCAACACCCUUCAGAUGUCACUGCACGGCAGAGAUAAACGUAUUGAGAAUAUGCAAAACCUAAGGAAACAGAAGAGGAAACUUAGUAAAUGGUUUACAAGACCUGCUCCUAUUCCAGAACCAGGACUCCUA